rnacentral:rRNA from 1 species
AGCGAACGCUGGCGGCAAGCUUAACACAUGCAAGUCGAGCGGGCAUCCUUGUGGUGUCCGCGGCAGACGGGUGAGUAACGCGUGGGAACGUGCCCUUCGGUUCGGAAUAACUCAGGGAAACUUGAGCUAAUACCGGAUACGUGCGAGAGCAGAAAGGUUUAUCUGCCGAAGGAUCGGCCCGCGUCUGAUUAGCUAGUUGGUGAGGUUAUGGCUCACCAAGGCGACGAUCAGUAGCUGGUCUGAGAGGAUGAUCAGCCACACUGGGACUGAGACACGGCCCAGACUCCUACGGGAGGCAGCAGUGGGGAAUAUUGGACAAUGGGGGCAACCCUGAUCCAGCCAUGCCGCGUGAGUGAUGACGGCCUUAGGGUUGUAAAGCUCUUUUCUCCGGGACGAUAAUGACGGUACCGGAGGAAUAAGCCCCGGCUAACUUCGUG